AAUACCCUUAAAAAGGGAGUGGAUUAUUUUCAUUUAAUCUAAAUUACCUAAGUAUAAAUUCUUUACCUAGGUUUAAUUUCCGAACCAUUCCCCUUCCUCCCGAUUUCUUCCCCCUUCAUGCGCGCGAGCUCUCUUCGUCCCGAGCCGCACCAGCGCCGGCGAUUCCCUCUCCUCUUCUCUCAACGUCGCCGGCGCAGGACAACCCUUGAGUGUUAAGGAGGGAAGUGGCAACCGAUCUUCCUCUCUUCUUCCUUCCUUUCUCGCGCGGAUGAACUCGACAUCGACGGAGAGAUUCUUCCCCGACAAACCUAUUCUCGCCCAGUCGCCUGAGGGAGAGCGCCGGAUCUCAACGGUAUCAUCCAUCUCUGGAGGACCGACCACCUUCUCGGCCUCUCGGCCAUUCCUUAUGCGCGAUCGGCGGUGAUCAAGUGGCUAGGGCACGGCAAGGCUAGAGCCGACGAGGGAGGGGAGAUUCGAGCCUUAGUUGCCUCUUGUGGAUGUCCAGUGCCUUCUCGGCAUCGAAUCUUGGAUCAGGGAGGUCCACUUCACUGGAUUCCGGUUCCUCCUUCUCACUGGUGUUGAUGGGCUGCUGAUCAUAGAGUGGAUGGACUGCCAAAGCAUAAUUGAGGAGAAGUCAUUGGAUCAGCUAGGGAUGGGUUUUCUUGAGCAGAUCCUUAUCUUCUUCAUUCUUGCGCCAUAUUGAGGUUUUGGUUUCAGAUCUGGGGUUGUUUGAGGAAUUCUUUGGUAGCUGUUCGACAGGUGUGUUAUUGGGCUGUGAGUUUGGAUAUGCUGCUACCUCUUAAGGACUUGGGUUCGGGACGAGCAUCUCGAAGUGGAAUUGAUUUAUCUGACGCGGUUGACAGAUAAAGGCGGGUAUUUCUUCCUUGGCUCUAUAUAGAUUUUUAUUGAGCUUAGUGCAUGGUUAUUAUGUGAUGGUUUAGGCUGCUUUACCUUAUAUCAUAUCUGUUUGUUGACUUCCUGCUAGAGACUUAUGCUUGAUCUUUGAGGUGUUCUAUUUAAUUCGUAUACAGUCUAAACUCUUGAUACUCUAUGGUGAUUACACGUGUAGAGUAUGUCCUGUAGGGAUUGUC